GAUGAAGAACGCAGCGAAAUGCGAUAAGUAAUGUGAAUUGCAGAAUUCAGUGAAUCAUCGAAUCUUUGAACGCACAUUGCGCCCGCCAGUAUUCUGGCGGGCAUGCCUGUUCGAGCGUCAUUUCAACCAUCAAGCCCCAGGCUUGUGUUGGGGACCUGCGGCUGCCGCAGGCCCUGAAAACCAGUGGCGGGCUCGCUGUCACACCGGGCGUAGUAGAUUUUAUCUCGCUCAGGGCGUGCUGCGGGUUCCGGCCGUUAAAAAGCCUUUUUUACCCAAGGUUGACCACGGAUCAGGUAGGAAGACCCGCUGAACUUAAGCAUAUCAAUAAGCGGAGGA
rnacentral:misc_RNA from 1 species